GAUGAACGCUGGCGGCGUGCCUAAUACAUGCAAGUCGAGCGAACAGAUAAGGAGCUUGCUCCUUUGACGUUAGCGGCGGACGGGUGAGUAACACGUGGAUAACCUACCUAUAAGACUGGGAUAACUUCGGGAAACCGGAGCUAAUACCGGAUAACAUAUUGAACCGCAUGGUUCACUAGUGAAAGGCGGCUUUGCUGUCACUUAUAGAUGGAUCCGCGCCGUAUUAGCUAGUUGGUAAGGUAACGGCUUACCAAGGCAACGAUACGUAGCCGACCUGAGAGGGUGAUCGGCCACACUGGAACUGAGACACGGUCCAGACUCCUACGGGAGGCAGCAGUAGGGAAUCUUCCGCAAUGGGCGAAAGCCUGACGGAGCAACGCCGCGUGAGUGAUGAAGGUCUUCGGAUCGUAAAACUCUGUUAUCAGGGAAGAACAAAUGUGUAAGCAACUGUGCACAUCUUGACGGUACCUGAUCAGAAAGCCACGGCUAACUACGUGCCAGCAGCCGCCGUAA
rnacentral:rRNA from 1 species